AACCUUUAGACCAUGGAGGCUGAAUGGCUUAAGUGGCAUAAAAUGUGAUGAUGGAUCGAUGUCAGAUAAUGGAUGGUUAAAGCACACCUGUGACAUGGUAAUGAAGAACUUGACAUGCAUGGUGGAAGUUGAUCAAGACUAUCAAUUCUUCGAGAGGUCCAGUGACUAUACACUCGCAAGAAGGAUAUAUGGUAUGGAAUAGCUUUCUACACCUCUGUGCUGGCAGAUUUGUAAGAAUGGAAGUUGUUUCAAUGUGGAGAGAGAACAGACAUUUUGUAUGGUCAGGUAAAAUUUGUUUUUGAGGUCACAAGUAAAGUCUCAAUAAAGGCAUUUCCAUUUAUAGUUGUAUAACUAGCUAGUUUAUGGAAAGUUGGUGGUUCUACUCUUAAUAGGUGCCUGUCUUUGUCCAAAACAAUGCUAUUAAGGCAUAUUUUCCUCUAUCUGUAAAGCUGGACAGUCACUAUAAUGAAAUAAGUAUUGUAUCUGUUUAAUUUCAAAAGAAUUUAGCUUAAAGUGUUAAAUUUUGCAAUGUUGUUCUGUUAACACCAGUGACAUUUCAGAAAACCCAAACAUGUUGGCUGGAUUGCUAGGUUCAUGUCGGAAGUUGUGAUGGAGGAUUAAUGUUGGAAUGUGGAUGGUUGUGUGACAUUGGUGAAAUGAUUGUUGUGACAUUGGUGAAGUGUGAUUGUGCUGGAAAGUGACAUGAUGGAGCAUUGGCCAUGGACACUGAAUUGCUUGAGUGGCAUCAUGUGUGAUUAUGGAUGGAUGUCAGAAUGUGGAUGGUUAACCCACACCUGUGACAGAGUAAUGAAGUACUUGACAAGCACAAGGAUGUGGAUGGCAAAGUGUAUGUGUUGGAAAGAGGCAUGAUGGAGCAAUUUGACCGAGGAGUUGCAUCAAAUGUGAUGAUGGAUGUGAUCUUUCCGACCAUGGAGUUGCACCAAAUAUGAUGAUAGACCAUGGAGUUGCACCAAAUAUGAUGAUCAGACAAUGGAGUUGCACCAAAUAUGAUGAUGGACCAUGGAGUUGCACCAAAUAUGAUGAUGGAUCAUGGAGUUGCACCAAAUAUGAUGAUCAGACCAUGGAAUUGCACCAAAUAUGAUGAUCAGACCCUGGAGUUGCACCAAAUGUGAUGAUGGACCAUGGAGUUGCACCAAAUAUGAUGAUGGAUCAUAGAGUUGCACCAAAUGUGAUGAUGGACCAUGGAGUUGCACCAAAUAUGAUGAUGGAAGUGGUAUUUCAGACCAUGAAGUUGCAUCAAAUGUGAUGAUGGAUAGAUGUAAGAAAGUGGACUGGGACAGAGUAAUGAAGUACUUGACAUGCAUGGUGGAAGUUGAUCGAGACUAUCAAUUCUUCGAGAGGUCCAGCGACUAUAUACUCGCAAGAAGGAUAUGGUAUGGAAUAGCUUUCUACACCUCUGUGCUGGCAGAUUUGGAAGAAUGGAAGUUGUUUCAGUGUGGAGAGAGACAGACAUUUUGUAUGGUCAGGUAAAAUUUGCUUUUAAAGUCACAAGUAAGUCUCAAUAAAGGCAUUGUUGUUUCUAGUUGACUAACUAGCAAUGUACUGGAAAGUUGGUGGUUCUACUCUUAAAAGGUGCCUGUCUUUGUCAGAAACAAUGCCAUCCAGGCACAUUUUGCUCUACCUUUAAAGUUUAACAGUCACCAAAAUAAAAUGUAGAAUUGUAUCUGCUUUAAUGGAAAGAUUGUUAAGGUUAUACUGUUACUUUUUGAGAUUGCAAUGUUGUUCUGUUAACUCCAGAGAUAUUUCAGAAAACCCUCGCAACAUGUUGGCUGGAUUGCUAGAUUGAUGUCGGAAGUUGUGAUGAUUGAUUUAUGUUGGAAUGUGGAUGGUUGUGUGACAUUGGUGAAGUGAUUUUUGUGACAUUGGUGAAGAUUUGAAGUUGCUCCAGUGUGGAGAGAGAUGGACACAGUGUUCGAUUAAAAAAAAACUCAAGGAUGUCAUUGGAGAUCUGAUGGUUAAUCGGAAAAUGGUGUAGUGUGUGUGUGUUGAUUUGACGGGACAGUGAUGCCAUUCUAUAUUGUUAAAUGGUGAGUACUAGAUGAUAUUUUACGUCAAGUUUUCAAGACAAGACGCAAGACGGUAAGAAUUGCAAUGUUUUUAGUUGCUCAGCAUUGUGAAAGACGAGGCAAGUACAGAACAGAGAGGUAAAAUUUUGAAAAGGUGUUAAAUUGUGGCGGGAGGGACAUAAAUAAAUGUCAUUAUGAAUAAUAUGUUGUGGUAAGUGUGAAAUAAAUAGAAAAGGAUAUAGUGAAUAGUCUGGAAAGAAAUGAGAAUGAAAAGUUUUGAGAAUAGAAAUAGGACAUAAAAAGUCAGUGAAGUGAAAAAUGGAAAGCAUUGUUUAAAAUAUGAAAGAAAUGAAGGAACUACAAAAGGUCAGCAAUAGACAUUUUUGAAAAAUGGAGAUGUGAAAGUGAAAAAUGAAUGAAAAUAAAGGGAAAGGGAGAGAAUACAUGGAAAUUGGAAUGGAAUAAAUAAUAAAAUAAAUGGAAAGGAAGAGAAUACAUGGAAAUUGGAAUGGAAAAAAUGAAUAAUAAAAUAAAUGGAUAGGGAGAGAAUACAUGGAAAUUGGAAUGGAAAAAAUGAAUAAUAAAAUAAAUGGAAAGGGAGAGAAUACAUGGAAAUUGGAAUGGAAAAAAUGAAUAAUAGAGUCGAGGAAAUGGAAAGACUAGAGGAGAGUUGAAUGAAAUGAAAUUUGAAAGUGAAAACAGUUAAUCAUGUGUGAAAAGUGAAUGAAUAAAAAAGAAGACAAUUUGGUUGAGAAAAUGUAGAUGAAAAAGAUAAGAAAACAAUCGGCUUUCCAUACGGAUCAACUUUCUAUGGAAAGUCAAUUUCAGGUCUCCUGGCAUCCGUGAUUGUUGAUUUUUGCAGCUCCCUUUCAUAGUUCUACCAUGAAGGGGAAGUGCAGAUAUGACAGAUUUUCUACUUUAUUCUUAUCUAACUUUA